CACUUUGCCUUAAUGGUAAAUGUGAGAUGCAGUGUAUGGGAUGUCAAUUUUCUAGUUUGAGAAAUUAACGAUUUAAGUCCUUCUUAAAUGAGGCCAUUUACCCAUAGAGGGUGCCAGGCCCGUAUAACGUUAAUGAUAACUAGAUGGCAUUUCCAAAGAGUCGUGUUGCUUGAUAGUGCAGCACUAAGUGGGUGGUAAACUCCAUCUAAAACUAAAUAUAACCAUGAGACCGAUAGUAAACAAGUACCGUGAGGGAAAGUUGAAAAGAACUCUGAAUAGAGAGUUAAAUAGUACGUGAAACUGCUUAGAGGUUAAGCCCGAUGAACCUGAAUAUCCAUUGUAGAAAAUUCAUCAUUAUGAAUUUAAUAUUUAUUAAUAUUAAAAUAAUAGUGUGCACUUUUUCUACAGAGGACAUUGUAAUCUAUUGACAUAAAUUAAAUUUAUCAUAAGAUCAAUUGCGUAAGUUUAUUUAAAUUAUUUUGCUUGCAAUUUAACAUAGAAUAAAUGCUCUUGAUUUGAUAAAGUAUUGAUAGAUUUAUUAUAUAUAGUGCUUGAAUAUUUUUAUAUUCUAUAAUAACAUAUUAAUUAUUAAUUUUUAUGUUUAUUUUAUGCACUUAUAUGAUUAACAAUGCGAAAGAUUCAGGAUACCUUCGGGACCCGUCUUGAAACACGGACCAAGGAGUCUAACAUAUUUGCAAGUUAUUGGGAAUAAAAACCUAAUAGCAAAAUUAACAUAACUUAAAUUAAUUGGGAUUAGUUUGUAGCCUAUUUAUAGUCUAUAAAUACAAUCCCGGGGCGUUCUAUCGUUAUGUAUGAUAAUAUUUAUAUUAUUUAUGCCUCUAACUAGAGCGUACCUUGAGCAUAUAUGCUGUGACCCGAAAGAUGGUGAACUAUACUUGAUCAGGUUGAAGUCAGGGGAAACCCUGAUGGAAGACCGAAACAGUUCUGACGUGCAAAUCGAUUGUCAGAAUUGCAGU
rnacentral:rRNA from 1 species